GAGUCUGAGGUCUGACCUGAGCUCCUGGGGAGUGGUGUCCAUCAUCUUAUUGAGCAGUGUUAAGGAGGAAGAAAGCACAAAACUCUCCAUCUGCCACUGAAAGGAUGAUUCAUGAGCACAGAGUAACCACCAAGGUCACCCAACCUGACUGACCAAUUGCUCCAAUGAUGACCUGAGAGAAAGUGACCUUGUGUUAAAAGCUUUUAAUUACAGCAAACAAAACCACUUCUAUUCUUUUCAGCUCCCAAAUACAGUCAUUCCUUUAGGAAGAUGUGAAAAGCUCCAUGCUGCCUUAAUAUGAGUUUCUGGGUGAGUAAAACUGUGUUCAUUUAAA
rnacentral:lncRNA from 1 species